UACGAACUGUGCGAACGUUAUUCGGAAUCACUGGGCUUACAGGGUGCGUAGGCGGCUACAACAAGUCAGGUGUGAAAGCCCCCGGCUCAACCGGGGAACUGCGCUUGAAACUGUUAGGCUCGAGUCAGCUAGGAGGUACACGGAACUUCCAGUGGAGCGGUGAAAUGUGUUGAUAUUGGAAGGAACACGGAGGCGAAAGCGGUGUACUGGGGCUGGGCUGACGCUGAGGCACGAAAGCCAGGGGAGCA
rnacentral:rRNA from 1 species